UCCGGCCUAAAACAAAAUGUGUCAGAAGGGAGGCAUGUUCUUGCGUCCAAAGGAGGCGACUCAGAAGAUGGGGGGGCAUGCGUGACAUUAGCUUUUUGGCGGGGUAACGGCCCACCAAGGCGACGAUGUCUAGGGGUUCUGAGAGGAAGGUCCCCCACAGUGGUACUGAGACACGGACCAGACUCCUACGGGAGGCAGCAGUGAGGAAUAUUGGUCAAUGGGCGAGAGCCUGAACCAGCCAAGUCGCGUGAAGGAUGACGGCCCUACGGGUUGUAAACUUCUUUUGUCAGGGAGCAAUUGGGUCCACGUGUGGGCUUAGCGAGAGUACCUGAAGAAAAAGCAUCGGCUAACUCCGUGCCAGCAGCCGCGGUAAUACGGAGGAUGCGAGCGUUAUCCGGAUUUAUUGGGUUUAAAGGGUGCGUAGGCGGAAUAUCAAGUCAGCGGUAAAAAUUCGGGGCUCAACCCUGUCGUGCCGUUGAAACUGAUGUUCUUGAGUGGGCGAGAAGUAUGCGGAAUGCGUGGUGUAGCGGUGAAAUGCAUAGAUAUCACACAGAGCUCCGAUUGCGAAGGCAGCAUACCGGCGCCCAACUGACGCUGAAGCACGAAAGCGUGGGUAUCGAACAGGAUUAGAUACCCUGGUAGUCCACGCAGUAAACG
rnacentral:rRNA from 1 species